rnacentral:sRNA from 1 species
UAAACAUUGUAACAUCGUUGCCUACUUUGGGAGUUAUCUUAGUCGGGAAAAACUAUGGAUUUGUAUGGAAUACUGUGGUGGCGGAUCACUUCAAGAUAUUUACCAUGUUACUGGACCAUUAUCAGAAUUGCAAAUAGCCUAUGUAUGCAGAGAAACCUUACAGCUGACUUUGGUGUGGCUGCAAAAAUAACAGCUACCAUUGCAAAACGAAAGUCUUUCAUUGGCACCCCUUACUGGAUGGCCCCAGAAGUUGCAGCAGUAGAGAAGAAUGGUGGCUACAACCAACUCUGUGAUAUCUGGGCAGUAGGAAUAACAGCAAUUGAACUUGG